GUAGGGUCCAAGCGUUAAUCGGAAUUACUGGGCGUAAAGCGUGCGCAGGCGGUUGUGCAAGACCGAUGUGAAAUCCCCGGGCUUAACCUGGGAAUUGCAUUGGUGACUGCACGGCUAGAGUGUGUCAGAGGGGGGUAGAAUUCCACGUGUGGCAGUGAAAUGCGUAGAGAUGUGGAGGAAUACCGAUGGCGAAGGCAGCCCCCUGGGAUAACACUGACGCUCAUGCACGAAAGCGUGGGGGGGAGCAAACAGGAUUAGAUACCCUGGUAGUCCACGCCCUAAACGAUGUCAACUAGUUGUUGGGGAUUCAUUUCCUUAGUAACGUAGCUAACGCGUGAAGUUGACCGCCUGGGGAGUACGGUCGCAAGAUUA
rnacentral:rRNA from 1 species